rnacentral:rRNA from 1 species
GUGCCAGCCGCCGCGGUAAUACCGGCAGCCCGAGUGAUGACCGAUCUUAUUGGGCCUAAAGCGUCCGUAGCUGGCUGCGCAAGUCCGUCGGGAAAUCCACCUGCUCAACAGGUGGGCGUCCGGUGGAAACUGUGUGGCUUGGGACCGGAAGGCGCGACGGGUACGUCCGGGGUAGGAGUGAAAUCCCGUAAUCCUGGACGGACCACCGAUGGCGAAAGCACUUCGAGAAAACGGAUCCGACAGUGAGGGACGAAAGCCAGGGUCUCCAACCGGAUUAGAUACCCUAGUAGUCC